CGUCUAUAUACGUAUAGCAUAUCAAUAAGCGGAGGAAAAGAAACUAACUAGGAUUCCCUCAGUAACGGCGAGUGAAGCGGGAAGAGCUCAAAUUUGAAAUCUUCAAGGUUCUACCUUGACGAAUUGUAGUUUAAAGAAGUGUUUUCUGUUGGAGUUUUGGUAAAAGUUCUUUGGAAUAGGACAUCAUAGAGGGUGAGAAUCCCGUAUUUGACCAUUAUUUCCAACUUUGUGAUACACUUUCAAAGAGUCGGAUUGUUUGGGAAUGCAGUCCAAAGUGGGUGGUAAAUUUCAUCUAAAGCUAAAUACUGGCGAGAGACCGAUAGCGAACAAGUACCGUGAGGGAAAGAUGAAAAGAACUUUGAAAAGAGAGUUAAACAGUACGUGAAAUUGUCAAAAGGGAAGCGUUUGACACCAGUGUUGUUUUCUCGAAAAUCAAUUAAAAAUGGCAGGAUUUUGUGUUGUAUUGACUUUAUCAGCUUUCUGCACUUUUUUCCUGUCUUUUUUAAUGCACUUUUCGUUUAACAAGUCAACAUCAAUUUCUUUUGUUGUAAAAGGGUCAUUGGAAGGUGGCUUUCUUUUCGGAGAAAGUGUUUAUAGCCUUUGACUUCUGCAAUCGGAGAGAUUGAGGUCUGCAGCGUAGAUCCUUCGGGGUUAGAUACAUUUGUGCUAAGUUAUAGCCUUUCAUAGACAACUUGUUGACUAUGAUCAGUCAUGUAGCUUACUCGCUUAUGUUAUUUUACCUACGCUUAGGAUGUUGACGAUCAGCUGAGCGCG
rnacentral:rRNA from 1 species